rnacentral:rRNA from 1 species
CCAUGCAUGUCUAGUCCAAGCUGUGUGCGUGGGUGCAAGCUCGCGUACGCGGCGAAACCGCGGACGGCUCAUUAAAUCAGUCGUGGUCCAAAUGGGCUAGAGCUAUCUUACUUGGAUAACUGUGGUAAUUCCAGAGCUAAUACAUGCAACUGAAGUCCCGACCGGUGGUCUCGCGGCUACUGUGACGGACGCUUUUAUUAGACCAAACCGCUGAACGGGAGCGCAAGCUCCCACAGACUCGUGUUGUGGUGACUCUGGAUAACACCUUGUUGACAAGCGCACGUAUCCNUUUUCAUGGGACGGCGCUACCACUUUCGAGUGUCUGCCUUAUCAGCUAUGUAUCGUUCGUUAUGUGCGAACGAUGGCUUUGACGGGUAACGGGGAAUCAGGGUUUGAUUCCGGAGAGGCAGCCUGAGAAACGGCUACCACGUCCAAGGACGGCAGCAGGCACGCAAAUUACCCAAUCCCAGCACAUGGGGGAGGUAGUGACGAAAUCUAACGAUGCGGGCGCCCCUUCUGGGGCCCCGCAMUCGGAAUGAGCAUUUUCUUUCUAAACACCCUGUUGAGAACCUACUGAAGGGCAAGUCUGGUGCCAGCAGCCGCGGUAAUUCCAGCUUCAGUAGCAUCUACUAAAGUUGCUGCGGUUAAAAGGCUCGCAGUYGAAYGUCAGUAUCGAGCGUAGUGAUGGUGGACGUUGGAGCGUGGCUGAGUGCUGUGUGCGGUUCGGUGGUUGUGACUUUGAUGCAUCGUUACCCUCGUGGUGGCGCUCUGUGUCAUCGCGCGCUGCUGUCCGUGCUAGGCCUGUCACAUGUAACUCCCGUCCGUAACAAGCCUCCUCGCUUGCGUACAAAAUGGGCAGGUGCGUGUGUGUGUGUKUGGUUCGGAUGUACUUSUGUUCCUUCUCGCGCGCACGCGCCGUUUCAAAGUCACCMUGAGUAAAUCAGAGUGYUCAAAGCAGUCGUAMGGAACGUGCAGUUCGCGCUGUACGUUCUGUGAUGAAUGUCUUMUCAUUGACAGACAGUCUUGSUUUUGCAUGGUAUGUCGAAAGACGCUAUSUCUUGCUGGUGACGAGUCUUGAGCKGGCUUUCUCUGGAGAAGGUGUUGGGGAUGCGUGCGUUUGUGUUUUCACUGCGUGCGUGUUUUUCCUCCUUCGAAGGUUUAAGCACACAAGAUCAGCAAGUGUGGAAUGAUUAAGAGGCUCGGUCGAGGGCAUUGGUAUUGCGAGGCGAGAGGUGAAAUUCUAUGACCCCCGCAAGACCUCCUGAAGCGAAAGCGUCUGCCAAGGACGAUUUCAUUAAUCAUGAACGAACCAGGCGUGGAGCCUGCGGCUUAAUUUGACUCAACACGGGCCAUCUCACAGGCCAGCACUCUUGUACGAUUGACAGAUUGAGAGUUCUUUCUCGAUUCAGUGGAUGGUGGUGCAUGGCCGUUCUUAGUUGGUGGAGUGAUCUGUCUGGUUAAUUCCGAUAACGAACGAGACUCUCCCCUGCUAACUAGUCGGUUGGAUCUUGCGUCUGUAAUAGAGUUGUCGCUGUGCUUGUGUGCGUGUGCGGGAGGUGUGUGGUCUGUGGGGGGUGUCGGGUUGGUAUGGCUUCGGUUGUGCCUUCUUUUCGCUCUCUCUCUCCUCGCCCUUUCGUCCGCCCUUGUGCAGCACACUCCAAGUCCGCCGCUUAAUCGCGUUUUGGUUGUGCAUGCGUGAAAGCGCUGAGCUCUGUAUAUGGUUAAAACUCUUCUUAGAGGGAUUCACGGUUCUGAAGCCGUAAGAGACUGAGAGCAAUAACAGGUCUGUGAUGCCCUUAGAUGUUCUGGGCCGCACGCGCGCUACAAUGCCGGGCACAGCAGGUGUUCUUCCUUCUCCGAGAGGAGUGGGUAACCCUCUGAAAGCCCUCUCACACACAAAAACGCGUACGUUAGCUUCGUGCUUUCGUGCGCUGAAUGGCUUGCUUGGGCCUGGGACUUGCAAUUCUUUCCCACAAACGAGGAAUGCCUAGUAGCGGCGGGUCACUGAGCCCGCUGUGACUCAGUCCCUGCCCUUUGUACACACCGCCCGUCGCUACUACCGAUUGGGUGUACCAGUGAGAUUCUUGGACUGGCGAGCCUUGUGUGCCUUGUGCACAAAGGUGUACGACGGGAAGAGACUCGAACUGGUGCACCUA